rnacentral:rRNA from 1 species
AUGAGUCGACCAGCACCUCCUGCUCCACCUGGUCCACGUUUGGCGCGAUAUAGCUAUGCCAGCGGUGAGUUGCUCCAUGGCGUGUUGGUGCUUGUCGAGAAGGCGGAGGUUGUACUCCUGGUCGGCUUGCGCCUGUCAGAACAAGGCCUCCCGCUCGGCCAACACCAUUUCGGUGUAUUGAGCACGUGCCUAGCACAUGGUGAUGCUGACAUGGACCGGCGAGGAGGGUGUCAGCGACUCAUCAUCAAUUGCGUCUUCCUUUGGGACGUCCGCAGCUCCGACCUCCUUAUGCUUGCCGGCAACAAUAGUGGCAUCUCCGUCUUCUGCUCGGACAAGACGUUGUGCCAAAUGGAUUUGGAACUCGAGGAGGCCAUGAAGAAUGUGGUGCGGCGAGGAGGAGGAUGGAUGCAGCUAUAG